AACAUACUCCCUCCGUCCCAAAAUUCUUGUCUUAGAUUUGUCUAAAUACGGAUGUAUCAAGUCACGUUUUAGUAGUAUUAGAUACAUCCGUAUCUAGACAAAUCUAAGACAAGAACUUUGGGAAGGAGGGAGUAUGAC
rfam:Triticum aestivum genome assembly, contig: Triticum_aestivum_CS42_TGACv1_scaffold_001143_1AL